rnacentral:rRNA from 1 species
GAUGAACGCUGGCGGCGUGCCUAAUACAUGCAAGUCGAGCGAACAGACGAGGAGCUUGCUCCUCUGACGUUAGCGGCGGACGGGUGAGUAACACGUGGAUAACCUACCUAUAAGACUGGGAUAACUUCGGGAAACCGGAGCUAAUACCGGAUAAUAUAUUGAACCGCAGGGUUCAAUAGUGAAAGACGGUUUUGCUGUCACUUAUAGAUGGAUCCGCGCCGCAUUAGCUAGUUGUUAAGGUAACGGCUUACCAAGGCAACGAUGCGUAGCCGACCUGAGAGGGUGAUCGGCCACACUGGAACUGAGACACGGUCCAGACUCCUACGGGAGGCAGCAGUAGGGAAUCUUCCGCAAUGGGCGAAAGCUUGACGGAGCAACGCCGCGUGAGUGAUGAAGGUCUUCGGAUCGUAAAACUCUGUUAUUAGGGAAGAACAAAUGUGUAAGUAACUAUGCACGUCUUGACGGUACCUAAUCAGAAAGCCACGGCUAACUACGUG